rnacentral:ncRNA from 1 species
GGGUGUAAAUCCCUAAAACUGCCCGCUGACGGCCUUACACGGACGCUGCUUGCAUGGCGGGGUAUUGCGCUAUCCCCGUUUCAUGUGUCGGGCCAAAGUAGUUUAGACGCGCACCAACAAGACAACUAUGCGGAGGGCGAAUAAAAAUAUUAUGACCA